GCCCCGGUAAACGGCGGCCGUAACUAUAACGGUCCUAAGGUAGCGAAAUUCCUUGUCGGGUAAGUUCCGACCUGCACGAAUGGCGUAAUGAUGGCCAGGCUGUCUCCACCCGAGACUCAGUGAAAUUGAACUCGCUGUGAAGAUGCAGUGUACCCGCGGCAAGACGGAAAGACCCCGUGAACCUUUACUAUAGCUUGACACUGAACAUUGAGCCUUGAUGUGUAGGAUAGGUGGGAGGCUUUGAAGCGUGGACGCCAGUCUGCGUGGAGCCAACCUUGAAAUACCACCCUUUAAUGUUU
rnacentral:rRNA from 1 species